AACAUGACUUUGAUCUGCGUCCUCAUCUGGACUCUCCUCUGCUGCUGCUUCACAGAGUCCAGAGGCCAGGUCACAGUGACUCAGCCUGGAGCAGUGAGCUCUGCUCUGGGAGGCUCCGUCUCCAUCAGAUGUAGGACCAGUCAGAAUGUUCGUGUUUGGAGCAACAACCACCUUUUAGCCUGGUACCAACAGAGAGAUGGAGAAACUCCUAAACUCCUCAUUUACUUUGCUAGCACUCGAGAAUCAGGGAUUCCAGGUCGUUUUACAGGCAGUGGAUCAAACUCUGACUUCACUCUGACCAUCAGUGGAGUCCAGACUGAAGAUGCAGCAGUUUACUACUGUCAGAGUCUCCACUAUAUCAACAGUCAGUAUGUGUUCACACAGUGAAAAAGCGUCGUACAAAAACCUCCCUCAGUCAGACUGAACAGAAACUGAACUGACUGCUGCAGCUGGAAGCUACUGCAGAGACUGAUACACUUCACUGAGGACACACACACACACACACACACACACA